AGCGUAGACGGAGUGGCAAGUCUGAUGUGAAAACCCGGGGCUCAACCCCGGGACUGCAUUGGAAACUGUCAAUCUGGAGUACCGGAGAGGUAAGCGGAAUUCCUAGUGUAGCGGUGAAAUGCGUAGAUAUUAGGAGGAACACCAGUGGCGAAGGCGGCUUACUGGACGGUAACUGACGUUGAGGCUCGAAAGCGUGGGGAGGCAAAACA
rnacentral:rRNA from 1 species